UAGUCUUUGCGGAAAUCAAAAAGUCGAUUUCGGUGCGUUUUUCGGCAAAAUUUGCCGAAAGAAUGCGGUUUCGGUUCGUAUUUCUUCCGACGUAGUUUGGUUGCCCUGUGAGUUGUCGCUGAGCCUUGUCGGCUGGUCACCAUCAUCAUAUAGGGGGUUCGAUGAUGACGGGUGAGCGACGGUGGGUUCCGGUGUCGAAAUAGACACUUCCGGGAACCCGGAUUUGUGCAAUUAUCCGGCGAUAAUUGUAUA
rnacentral:lncRNA from 1 species